UAUAGGGGGUGGGGUAAAAUCAAAAGACGAAUACUUUAUGACACAUGGAGAAGAUAGGACAUUUAAGUUUCAGUGUACAAAAAUAAAGUUUUAUUGGAACACAGCCAUGUUCAUUGAUUCCAUAUCCUCCCUGGUUCUCUAUGGCUACAACUGCAAAACUAAGGAGUUGCCCUGAAGAUUUACUGUCUAGCUCUUUACGGAGUAAGUUUGCUGAUGCCUGUCUAUAUUAUUAAACGUUUUACUCUACAAGGUCUAUGGUCCUUUCUGUUGGAGCAUUUCCAAUUAAAUUUUAAACAGCUGGUUUUUACACAAAGUCUAUCAAUCCUUUCCCUGUUCAUUUCCAGCCACCAGGAAACAUUACAAGACACAGUACUUCCUUGAUGCUUUUCUAUGUGGCUUCUAUUCACGCCUCAUAUUCUAAAUAAAAGGGACAAGCUCGAAGAAUAGCUGCUGGAUCAAGACAGGUGUUGGUAAUCUGUCACUGCACAUUUUCUGUUGUUGUCAACAGAAUUUCAGGAGAAUCAGUGUUCUUUAUGAACUUGUCUAAGAGUCUCCUACAUACAGUUAACUGGAGUAAUAGCAAUGAUGUCAUAGAAAUAUCACCAGUAUUUGAGGGCCAGUCAACGGUGCAGCAGUAAUGCAACGUUCUGCAAGUUCAUAUCUGAAGAUCUCCCUGAACAUGCCAGAAGCUGCUAGAACUCUGGGAGUCAAGUGGUCCAGCUCGAUCAGCCCAGGAAUACAGAUCAUUCAAGGAGAAGCCAACUACCACGUCUUCAGGAGACUGGCAGCCCUGUAGAGGUAUCCAUGUGAAAAAGAACUGAGUCUCAGCCCUGUAGCCUUAUGAGAAAAUAAGAUCUGCCAACAAACCAUGUGAGUGAGCCUGGAAGCAAAUCCUUCAGCCAAACUGAGCCCUGAGAAAACUGCAGACCCACCAAGAGUUUGCAA